UAAAUUAAUCGGCUUAUCAGACACGUAC
rnacentral:sRNA from 1 species